rnacentral:rRNA from 1 species
GACGUAGGGCGCGAGCGUUGUCCGGAUUUAUUGGGCGUAAAGAGCUCGUAGGCGGCUUGUCGCGUCGAAUGUGAAAUCUCAGAGCUCAACUCUGACAUUGCAUUCGAUACGGGCAGGCUAGAGUUCGGUAGGGGAGACUGGAAUUCCUGGUGUAGCGGUGAAAUGCGCAGAUAUCAGGAAGAACACCAAUGGCGAAGGCAGCUCUCUGGGACGGUACUGACGCUGAGACGCGAAAGCGUGGGGAGCGAACAGG